rnacentral:lncRNA from 1 species
UUAUCAAAAUGUAAAGAUCCCAAAGAAUUAUUAGAAAUUUAUGAUCAAAUUUCUAAACAAGGAUCUUCAAAAACAAAUGAAUCUGAUCAAGAAGAAGAAUCUCAAUAUUCUCAAGAAACUGACAAUGGUGAUGACCUAGUUGAUCUAGGUGACUAUGAGGAAUUUCUUGCUCAAGAGAAAGCUGCAAAAGCUCAAAAGAAAACUUCAAAGAAAACUUCAAAAUGACUAUAUGGACCCAGUUCUCUUGAUGAAUUGAGAAAUUCAAGGGUCUAUCAAGCAAGAGAAAUUCUUCUCAAUCUCUGUCCAAUUCAAAAUCGGUGGUGCCACAUUUGUCAAGAUUCCUAUCAACUUUGUGUCAGACAUCAAUAUCUACUUUAAUAAAGAAAAAGAUUAUCUUUAUUAAAGAAAGUCAAAAAAUUGAAAACUUUUGACUAAAGUUGAUGCUGCUUUUCAAGAUGCUCCAUUAUGAUGUCGUCCACUUCUCUUUUCAAGAUUCUUUCCCCAAAAUGAAAGAAAUUUCAAGUCCGG